rnacentral:rRNA from 1 species
UGGGGAAUUUUGGACAAUGGGCGAAAGCCUGAUCCAGCAAUGCCGCGUGUGUGAAGAAGGCCUUCGGGUUGUAAAGCACUUUUGUCCGGAAAGAAAUCCUUGGCUCUAAUACAGUCGGGGGAUGACGGUACCGGAAGAAUAAGCACCGGCUAACUACGUGCCAGCAGCCGCGGUAAUACGUAGGGUGCAAGCGUUAAUCGGAAUUACUGGGCGUAAAGCGUGCGCAGGCGGUUUGCUAAGACCGAUGUGAAAUCCCCGGGCUCAACCUGGGAACUGCAUUGGUGACUGGCAGGCUAGAGUAUGGCAGAGGGGGGUAGAAUUCCACGUGUAGCAGUGAAAUGCGUAGAGAUGUGGAGGAAUACCGAUGGCGAAGGCAGCCCCCUGGGCCAAUACUGACGCUCAUGCACGAAAGCGUGGGGAGCAAACAGGAUUAGAUACCCUGGUAGUCCACGCCCUAAACGAUGUCAACUAGUUGUUGGGGAUUCAUUUCCUUAGUAACGUAGCUAACGCGUGAAGUUGACCGCCUGGGGAGUACGGUCGCAAGAUUAAAACUCAAAUGAAUUGACGGGGUCGUAGCUGUUUCCU